GCAAGCGUCUUCUAAAGCAUGGACAAGUCGCCAUUGUCCUGUCCAUUUUUCUGAUAGAUCUUAUAAAUUUGUCACAGAACUACAGAACAUUCAUCGGUUGAUUCAGAAUCAGGUCAGAUUGUCAGUGGUACUGGUUUCGAUAACCUUCAAGUCAACAUUGGAUACCUUGGUCUUAGAACUCUCAUCGAUUGAAUUCAUACUAGGUCACAUUGUCAGUGGUACUGGUUUCGAUAACCUUCAAGUCAACAUUGGAUACCUUGGUCAUAGAACUCUCAUCGAUUGAAUUCAUACUAGUAUAGGUCAGAUUGCUAAUGGUACUGACUCGAUAACCUUCAAGUCAACAUUGGAUACCUUUGUCAAUGAACUUUAUUCACCGAUUGAAUUCAUAAUAGGUACCUCAUUUUUAUUGGUUUAAUUUCAAAUUUCAAACCCGGUGAUAUUUAUUUACUGUUAUUAUGAAUACCUGUGUAGGCCAGAUUGCUAGUGGUACUGACUUGUUUAACUUCUCAUCAACAAGACCUGAUACGUUGUUUCAAAACAUUCAUUGAUUGAAUUCAUAAUCAGAGGGAAUCAGAAUGAACGCAACGUACGUAGAUCUCAAGGAUGCGGUGUUUGAACAUGAGACCAGGAAGUUUUUCGUCCGCGCUCCUGAAAAAGUUCGCACUAAACUUCGAGCGAAGAAGCGCCCAGCAGGCACGUCUGAUCAUCCACAACUUCCCAAUGGUGUGGAUUGAAAAUCGUCGUUUCAGUUGUGAGUUAAGGACCAUCAUGCCUUACCCCACUUAGUCAAAUUCAAUUUCAACCAAUCAAGAAUCACUUCUCAUGGAUUAUUCAAAAUCCAAAAUCAAGAUAUGUUGAAGAAUCAAGAAUGUCAAGUUGGCGCGCCGUGCCGUGCAGAAACCCCUAGUUGCCUAGUAACUUUAUUACAUUCACGUGUAUUAACAUGUAUGUCUGUCCUUAAUUAAUAAAGUUGGUUAC